rnacentral:lncRNA from 1 species
GAGUGAGAAAAUGGUUGUGGUAGAGUUUAGCUGCCCAGCAAGGUAAAACCACCACACUGCUACCAGCUAUAGCUGAGUGACCUUCCCAUCAGCUGUUCUGCUGACAUCUGUGAAAACUGCUGUGAUUUUUUUUUUUUUUUUUCAUUAUGGAUCUAGAUCUCUCCUCAUGUCCCCACUACAUACCAGUCCUGCUUCUGGUAUCUGAAUUUCUCCUUUGGUAGCAGCCAGAGUGUUCUCCCAUACUCCAUUAAAACAGGAUCUGGUUUGUUCAGGUCGUUCCCCACUGUGUGUCCUCUGAGCUUUGUCAGCUUCUGUCCAGCCCUUCAUUUGAGGACACAAAGUUUUCAUGUUUUGGAUGCUGUAGCUCACGUAAUUUGCUCAUCUAUAUUUGUUGGAUUUUCCCCGGUCUUUGUUUAAAAUGUGCUUCCUUUUAAUGUCAGCAUACGGGUUCUGUUUUAGUAUUAAGCCUCUCUUGCUUUAGAUGGAGCCUGUGCUUCCUGUACAGCCCCCUGGUGCUCUCUGAGUUGCCCAGCUCCUGAUGUACACUACUUCUGUACACCACUUUCUCCGUUACACUCUGCAACUCUUGCAGUCUAUCUGGUCCUGUCUGAGGGACCAUGGAUGCCAGGGACAAGUUGUUCCAGGAUUUUCCACUUUAGGUUUUGUUACUGUCGAUGCAAUUUCUUCUUUCUGACCUCAUUCCUUCCUUUGCCUCAGACCUCUUGUUGAAUAGACCUGAGAAUUCAAGCACGUCUUUCCAAGAACAUCAGACUGGGUGGCUAUCAAGAUUUUUAAGGAUAGCAUUCCUUGGUACCGACAGCAUCUCCAGCCCUUUGGCUUGCAGCAGGGAGCAGCAUUCCCUCGAGGAUGGAGCUGUGUGGUACAGCAGCGAGCAGCAUGCGCGCUGUCUUCGUGCUUCUGCAGCUGGGUGAGUCCCCAUCUGCUCUGGGAAAACACCCUGCUGAUGCUUACAGACUUCCCACAGGCCUCACAGCAUUUGGGGUGUUUUUAGGCUCCUCACAAUUUGUCAUCAUGGGCAGGGAGGGGUGGUAGCAACCCAACAUGUAGCUGGGACAACGUUGACAUAAAAGACAAGACCACCAGCUGGGGAAGAUGUUGUGCCAUUCAAGGUUCACAGAAGCUGUAUAAAUGUGAAGAAAUGUUUGAUAAGGAAUUUGUCCUCGGGGCAGAGCCAUUUCCUGAGCCAAAACCAGCCCAGGUCCCACAUGCUGAGCACAGGGUGCAAAACACUGCCUGGGCAAAAACUUGUGCAUUUCUGAUCAUAGAUUUGAUGUUACCAGCUUGCUCAGUUUGACUGCUAAUGUUAUUGCAAUUGGAGAACUUUUUAGUGCUCUUUUCCCCAUAAUGGAAGGUGACUGAACAAGGCCAAAUCUGCAUUUCUAAAAUACUCAGCUGUGAUUCCUCUGGUAGCAGUGAAAAGUCUGAAACUCUUUUAUGCACCCUAAAGCCAAAAGUAUGGCAAAAGACAUCAAGAUACUCAUAUUAAUAAAGUUUAUAAUUUCUCCA